rnacentral:rRNA from 1 species
GACGUAGGGCGCGAGCGUUGUCCGGAUUUAUUGGGCGUAAAGAGCUCGUAGGCGGCUUGUCGCGUCGUCUGUGAAAUCCUGCGGCUCAACCGCGGGUCUGCAGUCGAUACGGGCAGGCUAGAGUUCGGUAGGGGAGACUGGAAUUCCUGGUGUAGCGGUGAAAUGCGCAGAUAUCAGGAGGAACACCGGUGGCGAAGGCGGGUCUCUGGGCCGAUACUGACGCUGAGGAGCGAAAGCGUGGGGAGCGAACAGG